rnacentral:misc_RNA from 1 species
GAUGAAGAACGCAGCAAAAUGCGAUAAGUAAUGUGAAUUGCAGAAUUCAGUGAAUCAUCGAAUCUUUGAACGCACAUUGCGCCCGGCAGUAUUCUGGCGGGCAUGCCUGUUCGAGCGUCAUUUCAACCCUCAAGCACAGCUUGGUGUUGGGACUCGCGUUAAUUCGCGUUCCUCAAAUUGAUUGGCGGUCACGUCGAGCUUCCAUAGCGUAGUAGUAAAACCCUCGUUACUGGUAAUCGUCGCGGCCACGCCGUUAAACCCCAACUUCUGAAUGUUGACCUCGGAUCAGGUAGGAAUACCCGCUGAACUUAAGCAUAUCAAUAAGCGGAGGA